rnacentral:rRNA from 1 species
UACAGAGGGGGCACGCGUUAUUCGGAAUUAUUGGGCGUAAAGGGCGCGUAGGCGGCUUGGCAAGUGGAUGGUGAAAUCCCUCGGCUUAACCGAGGAACUGCCGUCCAAACUGCUUGGCUUGAGACCGGGAGAGGUGAGUGGAAUUCCCAGUGUAGCGGUGAAAUGCGUAGAUAUUGGGAGGAACACCAGUGGCGAAGGCGGCUCACUGGACCGGUACUGACGCUGAUGCGCGAAAGCGUGGGGAGCAAACGGG